UCCGAAAAAAAAAAAAAAAAGCUUCAAUAAUAGAGAUUACAACCUUGAUAGUAUAUUUCAAUUUAAUAAA
rnacentral:tRNA from 1 species